CAUGGCUUUCUUCCUCCUCCCAGGCUGAAAGGGUUACUCAGACAGGACCCGGGGAAGCAGAGUCAGACAGGAGCCUUACCCAGGCUCCAGCUGCUGAGAUCCAGCCUGGGCCCCUGCUCUGAUUCCUGUAAUUGGCUCAUGCUGCCCACCUGGACCAGGGCCAGAGUAAGCACAGCAGGAUGGCCUGAAGGACACAUGGAGCCCCAGAGGCAGCUCUUGGUUCUGGAACCAACCUAGAUCCCUCCCUUGCAUUGGGACAGGAUAGGAAAGGUGCUAGGCACUGACCACUAGGCAUUCAAGCGAGGAAGAAUCUGAGAGCAGAGCCCAGGAUCUCCCCGCACCCCUCCACCAAGUGCCCAGUGCUGCCAGCUCCUACAGUGCCUUCCAGAAGUGGCCCACACUGGCCUGAUCCUGCAUCCCACCAGACACGACCUAAGCACACCCUGUGCCACCCGACAGAAGCCUUGCUUCUUCAAGCUGAUGAUGACAAGUGAAACCAGUCAGCACCAGGGCAUCUGACGUGGACCCAGCCCUCCCAGGAAAUAGCACUGCAACGGGAGGCUCCUGAGACACGCCUUAGACCACAGUGGGUGGGGCCCAGCCGCUGCCUGUCCUCUUGCUGCCCUGCUCAGGAAGAAGCCAGCCAGCGAGAUGUCUGACCCCACCGGUCCUCCCCUCUGCCCUCUGGCCUGAUCCCCCUCCUCUCCCCAUGAUGGCUCAGGCUGGCCAUGCCCUUCCCAUCCUGUGGGCCAGCGGUCUAGGGUGGGGAGCUCACAGUGGGGGUGAAGCCAUCUUGGCUCUGACCUGGGCUAGGCCCAAACCUGCCUCCCUUGGGGCCUUAUUCUGGUUGGAAGAAAACAGGCGCUUUUAGUCUCUGAAUCGAGGAGACAGAUGAUUUUUCAAACCAGAAUCUUUCUCCUAAGCUUUUCCUCAGGACUCACCUCAUUGUGCAUCUGCUUGAAGUCUUUUCUAGAUCAAAAUGGGUAAAAUGCACAGAUCUAUAAGUCUCCGUAUGUAUGCAAAUGCACUUUGUGUGAUGUCAUCAGUCUAGCAAAACCCAUCUGGGCAACAUCACCAACUUUCCUAAAUCCCUAGGGAAAAUCUGUUUCCCCCAUCCCACGGACUAAAGUGUGAGACUGUCGCCCUGCCCCGGGAUUCAUCCCAAAUGCACCUUCUCCCUGACUCAGGACUGAGCCCUGAGCUCUCCCCUUCGCUUCUUCCAAUCCCAGCCCACUCCCUACCCCCACUCCCGGUUCACAUGGAGUCCUUAGAGUGGGGUGGCCAUGUUGGUCCCAGAAGCUUCACUGACAUGCAGGGCUCUCUUCUCAGGGGCCCCCAGGCCCAGUCUACUCCUUCAAGGGGAAUGGAGGCCAUUGUCCCACCCUCCUAUUCUUCUUUGUCCCCACUCCACUCCAUGGAGGAUCUUCCAGCAGCCUCCAUCCUGUCUUCCCUGUGUCGUGGCCCUUUAUUACAAGCCUCAGCAGGAGGGAGGGAGGGAGAGACCAGUAAGAGAAGUUAUGUCCCAGCAGCAAAGGCAGAGGGAGGGAGGCUUGGAUCACGGGCCCAGUCCCCAGAGUCGGGCACACACGCACACUGAGACCCAGGGCUGCUUCAGUGCACAGUCACUCCCCCCCAAACACAGAUCCAUCUACACAAAUCCACAAGAGCUGGGGGCAUGGGAGCCACAGACUGCUCAGGAAGAGGACACACACACGUAAGACACCUGCGGUUCAUUCAUAGAAUACAAAUCACAAACAAGCUGCAGAAUACAAAUCACAAACCUGCAAGGCUGGAGACAAAGUAAAAGCAAAAAUAAUCUUGCUGAUGAGAAUAACAUCUCCAAAUCAUCCCAGUUCUGACCAAGCCUCUAAUGUGAAUAGGUUAUAUGUUCUGAGUGGUUGGGGCCUGGAGAAGCCUGGUGGAAUGGACUGGCAUUCCUUGGCAGAAAGUGUCUGUCCCUGAUACCUGCUAUCUUGUUCAGAGCCUCUGUAAAUUAAUAAAGUGGAAUCUCACUUGUCAACUGAUCUUAUUUGA